rnacentral:misc_RNA from 1 species
GAUGAAGAACGUAGCGAAAUGCGAUAAGUAGUGUGAAUUGCAGAAUUCAGUGAAUCAUCGAAUCUUUGAACGCACAUUGCGCCCCUUGGUAUUCCAUGGGGCAUGCCUGUUCGAGCGUCAUUUGUACCUUCAAGCUUUGCUUGGUGUUGGGUGUUUGUUCUGAGGGACUCGCCUUAAAGUAAUUGGCAGCCAGUGUUUGGUUUUGAAGCGCAGCACAAGUCGCGAUUCAAGGCUAUACACCAGCUUCCACAAGCCUUUUUCACUUUUGACCUCGGAUCAGGUAGUGAUACCCGCUGAACUUAAGCAUAUCAAUAAGCGGAGGA